UGUUCCUUCAUUCUGCCCGUGUGCUCUGACACCAUAAAACAGAGUCAAACUAAACGCCACAGACAUCUACAGUGGAUCAAAGACAGCAGGGUGGUUAAAAUGAUGGCUUUCUUAUUUACUGAAUGGAGACAUGUUACUGCCUUGGUUUCUAUUUUCUGGCUAGCUGCAGCAGAAGCCAACCAGAAAAUAGAGUUGAAGACUUUGCCCAACAUCACAGCACAGCUUGGACAAAAUGUGACACUGACAUGUGAAACCAACUUAGAUUCAUCAAGUAUUAAGCACUUGUCCUGGUUAUUUCCUAGUAAAAAUCAAUCUAUGUGUCAAUAUGAUUAUGGAAACACUGUGCUUGAGAACAGAUGUGAAGUAAUAAAUGGGACUUCACUCGUCCUGAAACUCAUCAACGUAAGCCCAGCUGAUCAGGGAUCAUACAUGUGCAAGCUACGCUCCAAAGUGGGAACACGAGAAAAUAACUCUACUGUUACAGUCCAAGAGUUUUCCACAAGUUCUCCAGAGGACAUCUCCACGACUCUCGGUCAACCGGAAACUCCUGGAUCUCACAAAGCAAAUUCAGGGUCAGGAAAUUUGGUGCAGUCGAUGUAUAUAAUGGUGGGAAUCAUCAUAGUGAAUCUUAUUAUGUAUUGUUAAUGGAACAAAAGUGUCCAUUUCAGAAUUUUAUAUGACUCAUUUUUAAUGUGAACAGCUAUAAGUUGCAGGUGGUCGUGCCCCGGAAGCUCAAAAAGAGAAUUUUUGAAAUUCUUAGCAAAUCUUUAUCUUGAGAGAAGGAUUGUAAAAUCACAGUUUUGCUUAAAUCUGGACUAAUGAAGUGCUGAAUGUCUUCAUUUAAAAAAUCACAGCACUGAUUGCUGAAAACUCCCCACUUGAUGGCAGCACAGCAUUUUCUUUCCCUUGUCAUGUGAAGCAGAGGCACAGUACACUUGAGCAUUCGGCAGGAGCAGACUGAAUAACUUUUAUCACAAGUAUCUAAUUAUUCCAGAAAACAUGAACAGGUGAAUUCACAGGCAGAAAAAUCUCCACAUUGCAGAAAAUCCAGCUUCAUUUUCACUCUUGUUUUACUGGCAGUUUGAUGCUGACUGUGAAAAGGAAGGUUUGUAUGUCACACCGCCACAGUCACAUUUACUCAAAUACUGCAUAGAAUUAUUUGCUUGUCUGUUAAAAGUCAUAAUGUUAUGUUAUCAUUUUUUAUUUCCAUAUUACAUUCAGCUCACAGUAAAUGUGUAGUGAUAUGUACUCUAAGCUAAUGUGCAGUGGAUGAUGUUGAGUCUUGCUUGGACACUGGAUUUAGGGGGACUUGUAUAUAGGGUUGGAACUUUUUUAACAUUUUUAUUAUACUACGCUUAAAAAAACGUGAAAUGCUGUAAAUGUGAUGAACAAUGUGUAAACCUUUUGAGAAUAAAGCAACUAA